rnacentral:lncRNA from 1 species
GUCCAAUAAAAAAAAUCAAAUUUAUUAGAUUGAAGAUGGUAUAUAUAAUAUACCAUAAAUACCACAGAUUAAGAAAUUAAAUCGAAGAAGAUCCAAAUUAACAAAAGGCAUAUAUUCUUAAAAGCUUGGAGUACGUAGUAGCUAGUACAUAUAUUUAAUUUGAUAACAAAUAUAAUUAUAGAAGAACCAAUACAUGAUAUGUGUAAGCGAUGCAUGCCCAGCAGCUAUAUAUAUACCAGCACAGCACAAACAACAUUAAGUAGUAGUUUCAUACCCUUCAGUUUCACUUCACCCCCAAAACUAAACCAGCCAGCCAUGAGCCAGCCAGCUACCUCGUAUGCAACUCUUACAUAUAUCCCAGUUUGUCACAUCAAUGCAUGUAAUUAAUAAAUCAUAAACUAAAAACUUAAAUUAACUUAUUUAUAUAUAAUAAGGUUAAAUUCGGACCGCUACCCUCAAUUCCCCGCAAAGCAAUAACCUCGCUCUGCGUGUCCAUAGCCCUUCCUGAUCCUUCAAGUUUAAGCUAGAAACUCCGGAGAACGAUAUAUUGCAAUGCUUUGACAUUAGUGGCUUGUUUGUUUGGCACUUACAUAAUUUCCGUCUUCCUCCGCACCUUCCACCACCACCACCUUCCUCUGUGGCCGCCGCUUGAGGCGGCUGAUCUCUGCUGGUAACCACCGGUCAUAUAUAGUAUCCGAUAGAAGAGUGGGAAAUUAAGGAAUGAACGUCUGAAGCUCAAAACUAAUGUGAAAAGAGAAAUGAGAAAGCUCAACAAAGGUGGCUAGCUAGCUACCAAGAAAGGGUGAGAAUAGAUGAAGAAAGUGAAUGUAGGUGUGAGAGGGGAGAGGGGA